ACCACAUCGCAUUGAAAACAUUCCCAUUCGAUCAUCAAAGUUAAGCAACAUCGAGCAUGGUCAGUAACUAGAUGAGUGACCAUUUGGGAAUAUUAGGUGCUGUAAG